rnacentral:snoRNA from 1 species
UGUGAUAAUGCCGCAGGAAACUCCAAGUGUCUCACUAACACCAUCUUCACAGUGCUCUGACA